ACCGGCGCACGGGUGAGUAACGCGUAUCCAACCUGCCCACCACUUGGGGAUAACCUUGCGAAAGUAAGACUAAUACCCAAUGACGUCUCUAGAAGGCAUCUGAAAGGGAUUAAAGAUUUAUCGGUGAUGGAUGGGGAUGCGUCUGAUUAGCUUGUUGGCGGGGUAACGGCCCACCAAGGCGACGAUCAGUAGGGGUUCUGAGAGGAAGGUCCCCCACAUUGGAACUGAGACACGGUCCAAACUCCUACGGGAGGCAGCAGUGAGGAAUAUUGGUCAAUGGGCGAGAGCCUGAACCAGCCAAGUAGCGUGCAGGAAGACGGCCCUAUGGGUUGUAAACUGCUUUUAUAAGGGAAUAAAGUGAGCCUCGUGAGGCUUUUUGCAUGUACCUUAUGAAUAAGGACCGGCUAAUUCCGUGCCAGCAGCCGCGGUAAUACGGAAGGUCCGGGCGUUAUCCAGAUUUAUUGGGUUUAAAGGGAGCGUAGGCCGGAGAUUAAGCGUGUUGUGAAAUGUAGGCGCUCAACGUCUGCACUGCAGCGCGAACUGGUUUCCUUGAGUACGCACAAAGUGGGCGGAAUUCGUGGUGUAGCGGUGAAAUGCUUAGAUAUCACGAAGAACUCCGAUUGCGAAGGCAGCUCACUGGAGCGCAACUGACGCUGAAGCUCGAAAGUGCGGGUAUCGAACAGGAUUAGAUACCCUGGUAGUCCGCACGGUAAACGAUGGAUGCCCGCUGU
rnacentral:rRNA from 1 species